rnacentral:rRNA from 1 species
UACGUAGGGGGCAAGCGUUGUCCGGAGUUACUGGGCGUAAAGCGCACGCAGGCGGUCGCGUAAGAGUGCGGGGACAGUGGGCGGCUUAACUGCCCAAGGGUCGCACAGACUGCGUGACUGGAGGGCCAGAGAGGGACCUGGAAUUCCGGGUGGAGUGGUGAAAUGCGUAGAGAUCCGGAGGAACACCAAAGGCGAAGGCAGUGUCCUGGGGAGUACCUGACGCUCAGGUGCGAAAGCCAGGGGAGCGAACGGG